rnacentral:misc_RNA from 1 species
GAGACUAUGAAGCAAUUUCAGCAAAGCUUGGUUGAGCUUGAAACCGAAGCUGAGCACCUCCUUUUAGCCCGGCAUCAGGUGGUUGAAAAUGAUAAAAUGAGGAAUGGGAACAGGGAAGCACUUACGGCGNNNNAACAAAAACUAGUGUUCCUUCACCCUAUCAGUCGAUCAUGAAGGAUAUUGGGAGGUCUGCAUCAAGGCCUUUGGUGAAGGAGGUAUGUGCAACAUGUGGCAACCAUGACCCAGAUGAGCGCACAUGGAUGAU